rnacentral:lncRNA from 1 species
UGGGAGAGAGGUGUGGGGAUUUGCUGGGAAAGCACAUGAGAAAACUUUCUAGAUGAUGUGUCCUAGAAACAACCACAUGCUGGAGAAUGGAAUUCCAUAAGGUACUCUCUUAGAUAAAGGAAGUGCCAGCCAUCCUGUUGCCAUCUGCUAAAAUCCUCAGCCCACCUGCAUAGUGAACAGCAUUCAUUGUUUUCCAGAAAUGUGCAAGAACCACAGUCUCCCCCAAGACUGAAGAUCUGCUUCAUCGACAUGGCAGGGAACGUGGCUGAACACAGAGGACUCAUUUUUGCAGCUUCCCUACCAGAGAGAGAGAGACACCCUUUUUACCCGAGUUCUGAGUUGAAAUAUCCUAGAAGAGAACUCUGAUUGGCCUGGCUUGGGUCACAUGCCUGUCCUUGAGUUGAUCAACUGUGAUUAGUUAUAAGUGUACUCAUUAGUAACUUCCCCUGGAACCUUAGAUUUGAUGUGGGGUAAGACUUCCAAAAACAAACAAAAAAAUAAAACAGAAGAAUGCUA